CAACCCAAUAAGCAUUGUGGUUCUCAAGUGCCCAGUCUUGAAAAUCUCACUGUUUACCCAGCAACCAGGUGAAAAAGAAAUUGUAGAAACUGCAUGAGUGAAGCUGUCUAGAAUUCCAGAAGAGAUGGUGUGCUUACCUUGUUGGAAAUCACAUCCUGCACGGUGGCUUUCACGCUAAAAGAGAGCUGAAAUCGAGACACCUCACUCACACAGACCCUUCAGCCUCCAGCACAGACCCUUCAGCCUCUAUCACAGAACCUUUGGCCUCCUGGUGUGGACUUGGAUGGGACACUAUAGUGAGCUCCAGGCGUUUGACUGGAUCCUUCAGAUCUCCAGAGUACAGGCAGAUCCUCUGAACUCUUCCAUACCUGACUCUGUAGGCAGCCAUUGCUCACUGCAAAUAGUGCCAACGUGAAGUCUCCAUAAAUCGCUGCUAAUUCUGAACUUAUUAUGUUUGGGAACAUUGCCAUUUCAUCCCAACCUUGUCCUGAGUACACAGAAGUACAGCAAAGUCGAAGAGUUCUAACCUUGAAACUAAGAAAGCUGUCACUUGCUCCUGUCCUGUCUGUCUCUCAGCCUGACUUCAGACAGGUCCAGAAUUGAGCACUACCAUCAAAUAAAACCCGUGUUGCUGUAUAGACAUCUACAAGAGUGCUAGGGAUUGAGUCCAAGGCCCGGUGAAUGCUAGAGAAAACGAAUUUGAGAAAGAAUCUUCUUGAUCUUCCUGCGGCAUAGUCUGCUUAAUGUGUGAACCUCCUGUCCUCUCCAGAAACAACUGUGAAGAUAUUUCACGAACAUGGGCACUGGAAUCUACUUUGUCAUCUUGAAUGAGACACUUCUUUGUAUUUUGGUUUCUUGACCUGCAAAUUUAGGUUAAUAAUAGAAGCUAUUUUACUACUCUGUGACAAGGAUUAACUCCAGAACGAUGCUGUUUCCACUGUGCCCAGUGCUUAGCUUUGUUCUCUGCAGGGGGUGAAGGAAGCCGUGAAGUACAGAGCAGCUACUGAGCUGGAUGGAAAUUGUUCAGAAUUUGGGUAGACAGAAGAGAAAGAAAACAGCUCAUGAGGGGAGUGGGUAAGAAAACCAAUCCUGGAUUUCAGCAGAAGUGUAUACUGCAUGAUGCACAGAAAGGAAAACUUUCUUCUGUUUAGAGUCUUGUCUGCUCCCUGUGUUUCAACAACUUUUUAUGUGCCUUGGGUCCUUUUGAAGAUUGCAUAUUGGGCAUAUAUGUAAAGUAGCAGUAAAUCGAUGCUUUUGCAGAAGAAUCAAAACCAAAAACAUUGGAUGCAACCAUGAGACCUGUCAGUCAGCUGUUUUGCAAAAGCCAACACCAAAGGACUCUUAAUGACUGUUUUCCUCUGGACCUUCCUGCUGUCACCAGCUUUUAACUCACAGUUCCUUUGGGUUGUUUUCCUUUUUCAUUCUUCCAAUGAAUACAAAAUAUCGGUAGCAACUACUAGUUUGUAAUCUCAAAAUUUCAGUUACCUGCACUGGUAUUCUGACCUUCUGACACUUCUAAAUCCCAGGAGUUUUCGAACUCAUUCAUUAGUUCUUCAAAUUUCUAACACAGACAUAACUUGUAGAGAGACAUUUAUUUUGCAUAAGAGGAUUAAUCUUUGUAUGAUAACUUCUGCUAUUUAAUUCUUGUUUUUUCAGUUAUUGGCUUUUAGUUUCAUUGUUUUUAUUAUUCAGGUUUUAACCAUUGAGAUUACAAUAUUUUAUGCCCUAUCAAAUUAGAUUCAAAUUUUCUGUAACUCCAUGAAAUAUAUAUAUGUAUGCAUAACUUACUACUGAUAAAAUCAGCAUGUGCAAUGCAAUGGGUACAUAGUUUUUGAGCAAGAUACUGGAUAUUGUGCACAGUUUCUCCCAUUUUGCAAAUAGCCUGAAAUAAUCCCAGAGAAGACAAUGACCUUUAAGAGUUACAGUUUUGAUGUAUGUUUAGCCCAGAGGCAAAAUAAAUCAUGUGUUACUGUUUUCUUCUAUUUACCUAUGGAUUUAAGUGAUCUAACAACUUAUAAAUAAUAAUAAAGCAUAGUUCCUUUAUUUUGACUUCCCAUACUUUAUGUCCUAUUACAAUGACUUGAUUUUUAAAAUGUAAGAACAAAUACUUUAUUUGUGAAUCUUUCAAUGUUGACUUACAUAUGCUGUUAGUGGUUUGAAUAUGCAUUUUCAGCUUGUGGUAGUACAAUGCUGUGUGAUGACAAAGCUUUUCUCUCUUUCUCUUGGGCACACCAGAAGACACUUCCCAGACCAAGUGUGUUUAGAUGGACUGCAGGCCUAGUACUGGGCAGUAGGAUGU